rnacentral:rRNA from 1 species
GACGAACGCUGGCGGCGUGGAUUAGGCAUGCAAGUCGAACGGCAGCGCGGGGGCAACCCUGGCGGCGAGUGGCGAACGGGUGAGUAAUGUAUCGGAACGUAUCCUGUAAUGGGGGAUAACCAGUCGAAAGAUUGGGUAAUACCGCAUACGCACGAGAGUGGAAAGUAGGGGAUCGCAAGACCUUACGUUAUAGGAGCGGCCGAUAUCUGAUUAGCUAGUUGGUGGGGUAAAGGCCUACCAAGGCGACGAUCAGUAGCUGGUCUGAGAGGACGACCAGCCACACUGGGACUGAGACACGGCCCAGACUCCUACGGGAGGCAGCAGUGGGGAAUUUUGGACAAUGGGCGAAAGCCUGAUCCAGCCAUGCCGCGUGCAGGAAGAAGGCCUUCGGUUGUAAACUGCUUUAGUCUAGGAAAAGGGUGGCGAGGUUAAUACCUCGUGCUUUGAUGGUACUGGAAGAAUAAAGCACCGGCUAACUAACGUGCCAGCAGCCGCGGUAAAUCACGUGUAC